GUCUUUUUGAUUUUAAUUUAAGGUCUAUUCUGCUCAAUGAUUAAUUUUAAAUAGCUGCAGUAAAUUGACUGUACGAAGGUAGCAUAAUAAUUAGUUUAUUGAAUGUAAACUGGAAUGAAUGAGUUGAUGAAAAAUUGUCUGUCUUGUAUUUAAUUUAAGUUGAAUUUGAUUUUUAGGUAAAAAAGCUUAUAUAAGUAAGAGGGACAAGAAGACCCUAUAGAACUUUAUAGUUAUUUAUUUAAAGUGAUUUAUUUGGGUAAUAUUUAAUUGGGGUGAUGGGAAUAAGAGUAUAACUUUUUUUUUUUUGACGUGGAUAGGCGGUAAUUGCUUAGUGAAUAGGAGUGAUAAUUGUUUUGUUUAUAGUAGAUAAAGUUACCUUAGGGAUAACAGCAUUAUUUUUAUAGAGAGUUCUUAUCGAAGUAAAAGUUUGUGACCUCGAUGUUGAAUUAAGAUGAAUCUUUGGAUGCAGAGACUUGAGGAUUAGGUCUGUUCGACCUUUAGAUUCUUACA
rnacentral:rRNA from 1 species